AUUCCGUUGUAUGUCCAUUCCAUUAGAGAAUCUGAACAAGAAUCGUGCCACCUUCUAAGCACUUCUAUUUUCCCAAUACUCCGUGCGAUUUUCGGCCGUAAAAUUUUCGCCGUGUCCCGGCAAGAAUUCGAAUUUCUCAGUAACUCUAGCGACCAAUCACAUUCCUCCUAAAGUUCCAUUGGUUCUGCUCUAACAGAAAUCAUGCCACCUCCAUGCGUAUCCUAUUCUCCUGAUACUAAAACUCGAUUUUUAGGGGUCUAAAUUUCUAAAGUGCCCGUGAAAUCUAGACCCUUAGUACGAGACAGUAAUGUUAGAUGGCAACAGUGGCGACUAGAAUUAACACUGUUUUGAAUAUAUAUCUAUAUAUAUAUAUAUAUAUCUGACAUUAUGCGUAAUGCUACAGAGUAGGACAUAUGGCAAACAAACUUCUACAGAGGCAACAGGUUACAUAUCAGCGACGCGUGCAUUCUUAUCUUACGCGCUAAAUAUAAUCCAAACCGAGACACAUGCGUAAUUGCACGUCAUGUCGUUGGGCACUGCAAAUCAUAUAGUUGAAUAAAAAAUUGUGGUAAUAUGCUUAAUUAAUUAAAACAAAGCCAUCGUACACAAUCGUAUCCAAUUAAAACAAUCAUUAAAUCAUAUUUGAUCUUCUUUAUCUGUUUGCCAAAGACUUAAACAAAUUAUACCAACGGGCAAUGUAAAUUUAUAUAAGUAUUUUAUUUUUCCAACCUCCUCGCAAUUUAUUCAUCCAAGACCGUAGUCCGGUGGGAAAGUGUUCUUCUAAGACGUUUCUCCAGAGGAUUUCCUCCCAAAGAUCCGCCCAUUUUAAAUAUUCAUAAAGGUAAAAUAAUCAUGAAGCAUAAUAAACUUUGGAAUACUUACGUAACGACCUAUCUGUAUAAAAUAGCCUAAAACAUAAUUCUACACGCGUACACCCAGACGCGUACUCUUAUACCUGAAGUUGGUUAGGUCGAAUUUGCAACGCCGUCGAGGGCCUUUACAGAACAGGCAGAGAGCAACAUGUCUUAUUUACGCUGAAGUGGUUGUCGGCCAACUUAGCAUGCAGCCAUCAUCCAAUCUAGUAGGACAAUUUAAGCAGCCUGAUUCACGCAGCGAAAUCAUUUAAUAUUUGACGUCAAGCUUGAUUACCGUGUAACAGUGGGUAAUGGCCGAUUGUUUAUACAGGUUGCAGCCCGGCGCCGUACUAUCAGACACAACCUACGCGAUACAAGUAACGAAAACAUACAUACAUAUAUAAACCACAGAAAGACCCUUGAGCGCUUAGAAAAUUUUAUAAAAGAAGAUUGUCCUGGGCUUCAUAGGAAGAAACGACUGCUCCAUUUCCUUUCUACUGGUACAUAAACCGAGAGUACAAGGAGGACGGAAAGCCGAGUGUUGACACUAGGAGAGCAGAUAAGAUAGCAGCUGCACCCAACCAAUCGGCUCUCGUACCAACAUCGUUACGCACGUCACUGUUGCUAACUGUCGCUGUGUACACAGUAGAAAAAUUUAUUUAAACUCGUCUUACAAUAGUUUUGUCACCUGGCGUCAAUCCGGGGUCACGCGGAUUCCUUAAUGAGUGUAGAAAUUCUUCUGCAGCAUACUCAUAUCCUCUGGUAGCAGCCACGCAAUUUGAUAUACGUCCAUAUACGUAUAGUACCUGAUUGGACCUUCAUAACUUACACGAUCUUUCCUCUUCCUCUACAACCAGUGCUUCGUUCUGAUCCUGGGUCGUUCUCCUCUUCUGGAAGUUUUUUUUUAAUAAUUUCUUGUCACCCUGCAUAUAUAUAUAUACGUAUACAUAAUAUGGGAUAUAAAGUCACGUGAUAAUUUCUCACGCCACAACUUCGUAACUGGCCGACGGAGAACUCACGCAAUGGAUUUUACUAAUUGUAAGUUUUCUUACAAACGUGUGAAGAAGAAUUCAAUAGUGCCAACUUGUUUGACAAAUAUAGUUAUGCGAUUCCUCCUUGGGAGUUAUGUUAAAUUUAAUGGAUGUUUAAUAAGAGGAGAUGGUAAUUUACUGUAGCCAAUUGGAUAGAAAUAAUUUUUAUAUUCCCAUGGAAUGUACAUACGCGCCACUUGUUACUAUGUAUACUGAUAAUUUAGGCGUUGAAAAGAAAUAUAAGGAUUAAGUGCGACAGUCUUGAGUACGUUAAACGAACAUAAUUCAGUUAUCUCGUGGGUGAUGGUUUAAAUUGUAUGUUCGUUAACAUUCAGAUAUCUUAUUUAUUUGUUCUCUUGCAUCAUUGUACAUUGUUGAUGAUUUUGUGAGCUGUAGAAAUAUUUAUCCGUAUCACUAAUUCGUACUGGUGAGACUGAAUGAGGUUUUGAGGAUUGAAAUGCCUUCUUGAGGAGUAUUAUACAAAGUUAUAACGUGGAUAUGUUCGUUAUCGGUAUUUUCAUAUGAAACUCUAUGACGUGACGCGUGUGACUUUGUAAGCUAAACAUAAUAAAAGUGCAAGAGCCUCGUUCUCUUUCAACUAAAA